UACGGAGGAUGCAAGCGUUAUCCGGAAUGAUUGGGCGUAAAGCGUCCGCAGGUGGCUGUGUAAGUCUGCUGUUAAAGAGUGAGGCUCAACCUCAUAAAGGCAGUGGAAACUACAUGGCUAGAGUGCGUUCGGGGCAGAGGGAAUUCCUGGUGUAGCGGUGAAAUGCGUAGAGAUCAGGAAGAACACCAGUGGCGAAGGCGCUCUGCUAGGCCGUAACUGACACUGAGGGACGAAAGCGUGGGGAGCAAACAGG
rnacentral:rRNA from 1 species